AUUGAACGCUGGCGGCAGGCUUAACACAUGCAAGUCGAGCGGGGGAGGUUGCUUCGGUAACUGACCUAGCGGCGGACGGGUGAGUAAUGCUUAGGAAUCUGCCUAUUAGUGGGGGACAACAUUCCGAAAGGGAUGCUAAUACCGCAUACGCCCUACGGGGGAAAGCAGGGGAUCUUCGGACCUUGCGCUAAUAGAUGAGCCUAAGUCGGAUUAGCUAGUUGGUGGGGUAAAGGCCUACCAAGGCGACGAUCUGUAGCGGGUCUGAGAGGAUGAUCCGCCACACUGGGACUGAGACACGGCCCAGACUCCUACGGGAGGCAGCAGUGGGGAAUAUUGGACAAUGGGCGGAAGCCUGAUCCAGCCAUGCCGCGUGUGUGAAGAAGGCCUUUUGGUUGUAAAGCACUUUAAGCGAGGAGGAGGCUCUUAAGGUUAAUACCCUUGAUGAGUGGACGUUACUCGCAGAAUAAGCACCGGCUAACUCUGUGCCAGCCGCCGCCGUAACAC
rnacentral:rRNA from 1 species